rnacentral:rRNA from 1 species
UACGAAGGGGGGCUAGCGUUGCUCGGAUUGACUGGGCGUAAAGGGUGCGUAGGCGGUUCGUACAGUCAGACGUGAAAUUCCUGGGCUCAACCUGGGGGCUGCGUUUGAUACGUGCGGACUUGAGUGCGGAAGAGGGUCGUGGAAUUCCCAGGUGUAGAGGUGAAAUUCGUAGAUAUUGGGAAGAACACCGGUGGCGAAGGCGGCGACCUGGUCCGAUACUGACGCUGAGGCGCGAAAGCGUGGGGAGCAAACAGG